rnacentral:rRNA from 1 species
UUGACCUCGGAUCAGGCAGGGAUACCCGCUGAACUUAAGCAUAUCAAUAAGCGGAGGAAAAGAAACCAACAGGGAUUGCCUCAGUAACGGCGAGUGAAGCGGCAACAGCUCAAAUUUGAAAUCUGGCUCUUUUAGGGUCCGAGUUGUAAUUUGUAGAGGAUGCUUCGGCGUCGGCUCCGGUCUAAGUUCCUUGGAACAGGACGUCAUAGAGGGUGAGAAUCCCGUAUGUGAUCGGUUGCCCUUGCCAUGUGAAGCUCCUUCGACGAGUCGAGUUGUUUGGAAUGCAGCUCUAAAUGGGAGGUAAAUUUCUUCUAAAGCUAAAUACUGGCC